rnacentral:rRNA from 1 species
GAUGAACGCUGGCGGCGUGCUUAACACAUGCAAGUCGAACGAUGAUCCGGUGCUUGCACCGGGGAUUAGUGGCGAACGGGUGAGUAACACGUGAGUAACCUGCCCUUAACUCUGGGAUAAGCCUGGGAAACUGGGUCUAAUACCGGAUAUGACUCCUCAUCGCAUGGUGGGGGGUGGAGAGCUUUUGUGGUUUUGGAUGGACUCGCGGCCUAUCAGCUUGUUGGUGAGGUAAUGGCUCACCAAGGCGACGACGGGUAGCCGGCCUGAGAGGGUGACCGGCCACACUGGGACCGAGACACGGCCCAGACUCCUACGGGAGGCAGCAGUGGGGAAUAUUGCACAAUGGGCGGAAGCCUGAUGCAGCGACGCCGCGUGAGGGAUGACGGCCUUCGGGUUGUAAACCUCUUUCAGUAGGGAAGAAGCGAAAGUGACGGUACCUGCAGAAGAAGCGCCGGCUAACUACGUGCCAGCAGCCGCCGCGG